rnacentral:rRNA from 1 species
CGCAAGGUGAGUGGCAGACGGGUGAGUAACGCGUGGGAACCUUACCCUGUGGUACGGAAUAACUUCGGGAAACCGAAGCUAAUACCGUAUAUCUCCUCUGGGAGAAAGAUUUAUCGCCACAGGAUGGGCCCGCGUUGGAUUAGCUAGUUGGUAGGGUAAUGGCCUACCAAGGCAACGAUCCAUAGCUGGUCUGAGAGGAUGAUCAGCCACACUGGGACUGAGACACGGCCCAGACUCCUACGGGAGGCAGCAGUGGGGAAUAUUGGACAAUGGGCGCAAGCCUGAUCCAGCCAUGCCGCGUGAGUGAAGAAGGCCUUAGGG